rnacentral:rRNA from 1 species
AGAGUUUGAUCCUGGCUCAGAACGAACGCUGGCGGUAUGCUUAAUACAUGCAAGUCGAACGAGAAAGCUCUUUCGGGAGUGAUUAGAGUGGCGCACGGGUGAGUAACGCGUAGGUGACCUGCCCUUUUGUGGGGGAUAACCCAAAGAAAUUCGGGCUAAUACCCCAUACGCUGAACAAAUUUGAAAGUAGUUCAGGAAAGAUGGCCUCUUUACAAUGCUAUCGCAAAUUGAUGGGCCUGCGUGACAUUAGCUUGUUGGUGGGGUAAUGGCCUACCAAGGCGACGAUGUCUAGCUGGUUUGAGAGAAUGAUCAGCCACACUGGAACUGAGAUACGGUCCAGACUCCUACGGGAGGCAGCAGUAGGGAAUAUUGCGCAAUGGGCGAAAGCCUGACGCAGCAAUACCGCUUGAGUGAGGAAGGUUUUCGGAUUGUAAAGCUCUGUCAGGGUGGAAAAACGGCAUAUUUUCGAAUAGGGAAUAUGAUUGAUGGUACACCCAAAGGAAGCACCGGCUAACUUCGUGCCAGCAGCCGCGGUAAUACGAAGGGUGCAAGCGUUGUUCGGAUUUAUUGGGCGUAAAGCGCGCGUAGGCGGAUUGAUAAGUCAGGUGUGAAAUCUCGGGGCUCAACCCCGAAACUGCGCCUGAAACUGUUAGUCUAGAAUCUCAGAGGGGGAAGGGGAAUUUCGCAUGUAGGGGUAAAAUCCGUAGAGAUGCGAAGGAACACCAGAGGCGAAGGCGCCUUCCUGGAUGAGUAUUGACGCUGAGGCGCGAAAGCGUGGGGAGCGAACAGGAUUAGAUACCCUGGUAGUCCACGCCGUAAACGAUGAGCACUAGAUAUUGUGGGUUUUGACCCCUGCAGUGUCGCAGCUAACGCAUUAAGUGCUCCGCCUGGGGAGUACGGUCGCAAGACUAAAACUCAAAGGAAUUGACGGGGGCCCGCACAAGCGGUGGAUUAUGUGGUUUAAUUCGAAGCAACGCGCAGAACCUUACCUGGGCUUGAAUUCUCACGAAUCCCCUAGAGACAGGGGAGUGCCCUUUACCGGGAAUGUGAUGAUAGGCGCUGCAUGGCUGUCGUCAGCUCGUGUUGUGAAAUGUUGGGUUAAGUCUCGCAACGAGCGCAACCCCUAUCUUUAGUUGCCAGCAUUAAGUUGGGCACUCUAGAGAGACUGCCUGGGCUAACCAGGAGGAAGGUGGGGAUGACGUCAAGUCCUCAUGGCCCUUAUGUCCAGGGCUACACACGUAAUACAAUGGUCGGUACAGAGGGAUGCGAACUCGCGAGGGGGAGCAAAUCUCAAAAAACCGAUCUCAGUCCGGAUUGGAGUCUGCAACUCGACUCCAUGAAGUUGGAAUCGCUAGUAAUCGCGGAUCAGCACGCCGCGGUGAAUACGUUCCCGGGCCUUGUACACACCGCCCGUCACACCAUGGGAGUUGGUUUUACCCGAAGUCGUGGCCCUAACCAGUUUACUGGAAGGGAGCGCCCACGGUCGAACUGAUGACUGGGGUGAAGUCGGAACAAGGUA